rnacentral:lncRNA from 1 species
AUGUUCGACGAAGUCACAGAGGAGACAUACAACCUUAAAACCCUUCGUUUUCUCCAGGUCCAGUCUGGAACGCAUAAUGGAGAGGGAAAACCUGGGGCCUGUUUUUGGCAGACUCUAUGUGGUUUAACAAAUUUUGUCCCAGUCUGCGAGCACCUGCGUUCUCCAGCGUCUGUUCCCAUGAUGCAGCCGAUUACCUGCAGCACGGUCCGACCUCCAGCCCCGUCGCCCGUUUUCUCCCCAUCUCUGAUGAUCCCACACACCAGUUUCACGUCCCACCAGACGAGCACCCCAGUUCACCUCCACCAGUGGCCACAGCAACAGGUUCAGCAGCAUCAUCUCUACCUUCAGAUGCAAGGUCGUGAGUCGGUGCCGGGGGGGCCGAACCAGCGCGUUUUCCAGGCAUCUCACGCCCCGCAGCAGAGUCCCAUGGGCUACUUCGUGCACCCGCAGCAGCCGAGCCGCCACGCGCAGGGCCAGCCCUGCAGCCUGCCCGACCUGCCGGAGAUGCCGC